rnacentral:rRNA from 1 species
CAAUAGCGUAUAUUUAAGUUGUUGCAGUUAAAAAGCUCGUAGUUGGAUUUCGGUUGAGAACGGCCGGUCCGCCGUUUGGUGUGCACUGGCUGGUUUCAACUUCCUGUAGAGGACGUGCUCUGGCUUCACGGCUGGACGCGGAGUCUACGUGGUUACUUUGAAAAAAUUAGAGUGUUCAAAGCAGGCUUACGCUUGAAUAUUUCAGCAUGGAAUAACACUAUAGGACUCCUGUCCUAUUUCGUUGGUCUCGGGACGGGAGUAAUGAUUAAGAGGAACAGUUGGGGGCAUUCGUAUUUCAUUGUCAGAGGUGAAAUUCUUGGAUUUAUGAAAGACGAACUUCUGCGAAAGCAUUUGCCAAGGAUGUUUUCAUUAA